GACAGAGGAGCCAAGCGUUGUCCGGAUUGACUGGGCGUAAAGCGCACGCAGGCGGCUGUGCACGUGGGGUGUGAAAGGUGGCGGCUUAACUGCCACACGCCACCUCAUACGGCACGGCUCGAGCCCGUGAGAGGUCCACGGAAUUGCCGGUGUAGUGGUGAAAUGCGUAGAUAUCGGGAGGAACACCAGUGGCGAAGGCGACUACCUGGCCUGUUCUUGACGCUGAGGCGCGAAAGCUAGGGGAGCAAACGGG
rnacentral:rRNA from 1 species